rnacentral:rRNA from 1 species
GGCGUUGAGCUAACCAGUACUAAUUGCCCGUGAGGCUUGACCAUAUAACACCCAAACA